rnacentral:lncRNA from 1 species
AUUCUUCUUCUUAAAAAAAAAACAGAAAAAGGCUCUCAACUCUCUCCUCAUUUCCUAACUCCGGCCAUGGCUCCAGCCACUAGCUACCGUGACGGCCGUCGGUCGCCGGUGACGGCGCCGAGGUCCACGGUGGUCGAAAAAUUGAAAAAGGCCCAUUUUCAGCGUUUCGACUCCCCGAGCCCAAAAUCACAACAUUUUUCAUCGGAAACGACGAACCUCAG